rnacentral:miRNA from 1 species
UAUUCAGAAAGGUGCCAGUCA